rnacentral:rRNA from 1 species
UGGCUGUGUGCCUAAGGACUGCAAGUCGAACGAUUCCUUUGGGUCUUUGAAACUUCGGUUGAUGAGAACCUUUGGAAUAGUGGCAAACGGGUGAGUAACACGUGGGUAAUCUGCCUUGAAGUCAGAAACAGCUCUCCGAAAGGAGGAGUAAUAUUUGAUAGUUCGAAUUUCUUGAAAUAGAUGUUCGAUAAAGCUUUUGCGCUUCAAGAGGAGCCCGCGUCCUAUCAGCUUGUUGGUGAGGUAAAAGCCCACCAAGGCUAAGACGGGUAGCUGGCGUGANAGCGCGGUCAGCCACCAUGGAACUGAGACACGGUCCAUACUCCUACGGGAGGCAGCAACUAGGAAUUUUGCGCAAUGGGGGCAACCCUGACGCAGCGACACAGCGUGGAGGAAGACAGUCUUCGGAUUGUAAACUCCUUUUAUAUGGGAAGAAUAGAUGACUGUACCAUAUGAAUAAGCACCUGCUAACUACGUGCCAGAAGCAUCGGUGAUGCGUAGGGUGCGAACGUUAUCCGGAUUUAUUGGGCGUAGAGAGAUGCGUAGGCGUUUCAGAAAGUCUUUCGUCAAAGAUCACGGCUUAACCGUGGAAAGGCGUUGGAAACUACUGAAAUUGAGACAUGAAGGGGUGAACGGAAUUCCAAGUGGAGCGGUGAAAUGCGUUGAUAUUUGGAAGAACACCAGAGGCGAAGGCGGUUCACUGGUCAUUGUCUGACGCUAAGGCUCGAAAGCGUGGGGAGCAAAACGGAUUAGAUACCCGUGUAGUCCAUGCUGUAAACAAUGAAUGCUUGGUGUUUGGUACAACUUUCUUUGAUCUUCGGAUCUUAGGAAGGAGUAUUGAGUACCGCAGCUAACGCGAUAAGCAUUCCGCCUGGGAAGUACGGCCGCAAGGCUAAAACUCAAAUGAAUUGGCGGGUUCCCGCACAAGCGGAGUAGCGCGUGGUUUAAUUCGAUGGCAAUCGAAGAACCUUACCAGGGUUUGAAAUGUAUCUGCAUCCCACUAGAAAUAGAGGGAGCCUUCGAGGGUGAUACACAGGUGCUGCAUGGCCGUCGUCAGCUCGUGUCGUGAGAUGUAGGUUAAGUCCCGAAACGAGCGCAACCCCUAUCCCAUGUUAUAAGUGUCUUGGGAAACUGCCUCGGUAAAACGGGGAGGAAGGUGGGGAUGACGUCUGGUCCGCAUAGCCCUUAUGUCCUGGGCUACACACACGCUACAAUGGUCGGUACAAUGGGAAGCCAAGCCGUAAGGCGGAGCAAACCCUAAAAAACCGAUCUCAGUUCGGAUUGAGGUCUGAAACUCGACCUCAUGAAGUUGGAUUCGCUAGUAAUCGCAGAUCAGCCAUGCUGCGGUGAAUACGUUCUCGGGAAUUGCACACACCGCCCGNCAAGCCAUGGAAGUAGGCGAUACCUGNAAGGUGCUUUACUCUUUUGAGUGGGGUAACUAGGGNAACGCUUAUGACUGGGGCUAAGUCGUAACAAGGUAACC